CAUGCCGCUAAUACGAAAGGCGAAACCGCAAAUGGCUCAUUAAAUCAGUCACGGUUCAUUGGAUCGUAACGCGUUACUUGGAUAACUGUAGUAAUUCUAGAGCUAAUACAUGCAGCCGAGCUCCGAUCGCCCUCUCGGGGGCGGGACGAGCGCUUUUAUUAGAUUCUUCCCCACGGUCUCCGGACCGUCGAAGUGACCGAAGCUGAGUAACUUUGCAGAUCGCACGGGCCCGUCCCGGCGACGCAUCCUUCAAGUGUCUGCCUUAUCAACUGUCGACGGUAGGUUAUUCGCCUACCGUGGUCGCCACGGGUGACGGGGAAUCAGGGUUCGAUUCCGGAGAGGGAGCCUGAGAAACGGCUACCACAUCUAAGGAAGGCAGCAGGCACGCAAAUUACCCAAUCCCGGCUCGGGGAGGUAGUGACGAAAAAUAACGACGCUGGACUCUACGAGACCCAGUCGUCGGAAUGAGUGCGCUCUAAAUCCUCGACGCGAGGACCCACCGGAGGGCAAGACUAAUGCCAGCCGCUGCGGUAAUUUUAGCUCCGGUAGCGUAUACUAAAUUUGUUGCAGUUAAAAAGCUCGUAGUUGGAUUCCUGCUCUGGACGUAGGGGGCCGCUAACGCGGUUCGCCAUGCGCACCCGGCAUUCUGCCCGCCGCUCCCGGGAUCGUUGUCAAAGGCGGUCUCGGGGUGGAUGGCGGAGAUCGCUUUGCAAAAAUUAGAGUGCUCUAGGCGGGCCGAUAAGCUCGAAUAGUAAUGCACGGUACGAUGAAACAUGACUUUGGCUCUUAUUCGGUUGGGGCACGGAGACCGAGGUAAUGAUUAAUAGGAGCAGACGGGGGCAUUCGUAUUCCGACGCUAGAGGUGAAAUUCUGGACCGUCGGAAGACGCACCACUGCGAAAGCAUUUGCCAAGAAUGUUUCCGUUGACCAAGAACGAAAGUGUGGGGCUCAAAGAAGAUUAGAUACCUUUGUAGUCUUGUACCCUAAACGAUACCCGCCAGCGAUCCGGCUGCGUACGAACGUGACGCGCCGGGCAGCUCUUCCGGGGAAACCAGAGUUCCGGCUCCGGGGGAAGUAUGGUUGCAAAGCUGAAACUUAAAGGAAUUGACGGAGGGGCACUACCAGGAGUGGAGCCUACGGCUUAAUUUGACUCAACACGGGAAAACUUACCCGGCCCGGACGUGUUAUCGGUUGAACAGACUGACGGCUCUUUUUAGAGUUUGUGGAUGGUGGUGCAUGGCCGCAGUUGGUUCGUGGGGUGACCUGUCUGGUUAAUUCCGAUAAACGGACGAGAUUCUUGCUUGCUAAAUAGGUCGUCUUUCUUCAYAAUGGAAACGACGGCUUCUUAGAAGGACCGUCGGCUUCGAAGCCGUACGAAAAGGAGCGAUUGCAGGUCUGUGAUGCCCUAAGAUGUCCGGGGCCGCACGUGCGCUACAGUAGAGCGGACAACGUGCUUCUUUGUUCCUUGGCCUGUCGGCCUAGGUAACCAGAGCAGUCCCUCUCAGUGCUGGGGACAGGGGAUUGUAAUUGUUCCCCUCCAACGAGGAAUUCCUAGUAGGCGCGAGUCAUUAACUCGUGCCGACUAAGUCACUGCCCUUUGUACACACCGCCCGUCGCUAUCUCCGAUCGAGCGGUGGAGUGAGGUCUUCGGACGAGCUCGCUGGUCCUUCCUCGUCGGAGGACCGGGUGUGGCGCGGAAAAAGACCGAACUUGG
rnacentral:rRNA from 1 species